GUUGUAACUUUCAACUGGAACGCCCCCUGAAGUCGGAUUUCUGACACGGGACAAAUGCACUACCACUACGUGAUCCAAGAUGGCUGUCGGGGUAUCAACAGUUAGUGAAAGCUGUAGUUUAUACUGUUAAUUAGCACUUCUUUGCACUUGUGACUCAUAGAAAGUGCUGUCCAACAGCUGUCUGUGGACGUGUUGCUACAGUGUUUAGUGUGUGUAAAUACCACAUAAUGCGUUUUUUUAAUCAACCGGCAUAUCAAUAGCUAACAAAGAGCUGGCUGAGCAGGUUUUCCGACUUGUUAACUGGAACGCCGUCAACUCGGGUGUGACGUCAUUCCCAGCUCUGACCUCCGACUUCCGCGGUAAAUGGGACGCUGCAGGAGUGCAGCAUCGGAUCCACUGUGGCAGCAACAGCAUGACGUGUGACGGCCCCUGCUUAGUCUACUUCUACCUGAUAUGGAGCACCUGGGCCCAGUACGCUACAGGAUAUAAAAGUCCCACCUUCCAUUGCGGCUGGCUCUCUCCCUGACAGCACCUGCACCUUACUGCUUUGUUGAACCAUUGUGUUUAUUUUUACUCCACACCUAAUCCCACAGUAUAUGAACACUACUUAUUUACUACUGUUACUAUCCAGGUUAAAUUAUCAUACUUAUUACAACUUUUACAAAUUUUCAUUUAUUUAAGUGUCUUAACUGUACAUUAUUACAAGUCAUACAAAACAACAAUUUUAACCUUUUUACUGCUGUUUUCAUGGAUGCAGGAUAGGACUUCAAUUUGUUCAGCUGUUUCUUGUUUAGUGUAAUCAUUUGUUAAAUAAAAUCAGGCAAGACUAA